rnacentral:rRNA from 1 species
CCUACGGGAGGCAGCAGUGAGGAAUAUUGGUCAAUGGGCGGAAGCCUGAACCAGCCAAGUAGCGUGCGGGAUGAAGGCCCUACGGGUCGUAAACCGCUUUUGCACGGGGAUAACACCCUCCACUUGUGGAGGUCUGCAGGUACCGUGCGAAUAAGGGCCGGCUAAUUCCGUGCCAGCAGCCGCGGUAAUACGGAAGGCCCGAGCGUUAUCCGGGUUCAUGGGGCUAAAAGGGAGCGUAGGCGGGCGUUCAAGUCAGAUGGAAAAUCGCGCGGAUCAACCGCGCGCCGCAGUUGAAACUGGACGCCUUGGGUUCAUAACAGGCAGGCGGAAUUCGUGGUGUAGCGGUGAAAUGCAUAGAUAUCACGAGGAACCCCGAUUGGGAAGGCAGCCUGCCGGGGUGCGACUGACGCUGAGGCUCGAAGGUGCGGGUAUCAAACAGGAUUAGAUACCCUGGUAGUC